AGAGAGGAGGUUCAAUCUCAUGAACUGAGAUCAUGACCUGAGCCAAAACCACAAGUCAGAUGCUCAACCAACUGGGCCACCCAGGCACCCCCUUUAAUUCAUUUCUUCAACAAAUUACAUACUGAGCUGUGUGCCAGGUAUCGCCAAUCUGAUAUUUGUCAAGAUAAGCACAUAGGAAGCACCUAUGUAUCUCAAGUCAUUGCCUCAGCGCACAGCCCUGUGAUGAAGGUUCUAUUAUCCCCAGUUUACAGGAAGCUGAUUCAGCAAACCUGAGUUCCCAGGUCCUGGAGCUGGUACUGGAGGGCCAGAUUCAAACCCUAACAUGAAUGUGGCUCCUGAGUCUAGUGUUACCAAAGAGAUACUUUUAGAUUGUAAUAAUUACUACACAGGAAAAUAACACAGGAAUGUGAGAGGUUGGAGGCUACCUUUAAAUGAUUGAGGGUGAAUGUACAUACUUGACUCAUACAAGUGUCCAGCUCAAUUGAUUUCCAUCACCGCACACACCCAGAAGGCAAGACCCAGAUCAAGAAGCAGAACCUUUCUAGCAUCCUUUUGAUGGCUAACUCUCACACUUCUGUGUUUUUGUACCUGUUGUGCUCAGCCUGGACCACAUCCUCCAUUCUCAUCUUUCAGCCUAAUCCUUACUCCCCAAAUGCUCCCGCACACAUCCAGGGAGGGGAGAAAACGCCCUGGCAUCUGCUAACAGAACCCUGAGCAUGGAGUGCCCCCUUCGCCUUUCUGUUUACUUAGCUGUCUUCCCUCUGGGUUGUGAGCUCCUGGAGACAACAGAUGGUAUCGUAAUCUUCUCUGGGUCUCCAUCACCCCACAUCCCCUCCAUGACCUUAGUAAAUGGUAAUGGAUAGAUGACAGGGGCGGGGCUUGCUACUGUGCUUUGGCUGAUCCCAUUUCAUAGGCCAUUCAUCCAUCCUUCGAGCCUCUAAAUGGAUUUGGUCCUUCUAGUCCCCCUAGCACUGGGGACAACCCCCAUUAUCUCUUGGAUCUCCGAAGCACUUUCAAAGCUGAAGUGAUUAAUGACUCAUUAAAUGCUGUAUCCCAAUGCCUAGAACAGUGAUCAACCCUUAUAAAUGCUUAUAAGUGUUGGACAGAAAGGAACGUCCUCCUCUGAGGGAGGGAUGGAGAUGAAGUGAGAAAAUGCUAAGCAAAGCGCCAUCCCCAGUAAGAUCUGGGGUGGAGGGAGGAGUCAGCCAGGUCAGCUACAGUGCUGGGAGGAAGGAUUGCACAGGGGCCGCUAGGGGGCACUUUCACCACCCAGCUGGUACUGUGUUUCGCUGCAAAGGUUUGAGAAAAGGGUACUCAGUCCCAGGCAGGUGGCAGGUGUGAAGCAACGAAAGCGGAGACGCAGUCCCUGCUCUUUUGGAGCUAACACUGCAGAGUUCCGGCAGAAGGAAUGCAAAUACUGUUAAAAAAUUGGUCCCUAAGCUGCUUAUUUCUGUGACUUUCCCGGCUACCCUCACCCAAGUGACUCCCUUUCUUAGAACUUUCACACCUCCAUUCCUUUGUACAGGCAGUAGUAUCUACCUCAAAUGCCUCUUUGCCCCCAGGAAACCUCUACACACCCUGUGAUGAAGCUCAAAGAGCCUUCCUUGUUUCUUCAGCCAAAGCCCAUCGCUGUUCUUUCUGCUGCACACACAUGGCCCAUGGUAGUGUAUGCCUGCCCUCAUCUGGAGGAGGCUCCUCAGGGCAGGGAUGGGGAUGGUUUUUCUUUUUUCUUUUUUUUCUUUUUUUAAAUUUAUUUAAGUAAUCUCUACACCUAAUAUGGGUCUCGAACCCACGACCCUGAGAUCAAGAAUUGCAUCCUCCUUGGACUGAGCCAGCCAGGCACCCUGGGGAUGGGGUCUUAUUUACCUUGUAUUCCCCAUGCCAGGCCCUGCUUGUGGAUACAAGGUGUCCAACAAAUGGCUGUUGAAUAAAGCAGAGGUUGGUCAAGCCGUGGAAAUCAAGAGGGAGGUUGAGAAAUGGCUUCAUGGAGGAGGUAAAAAAAGAGAUGAGCAGGUGGGUGUGGGUGUUCCAGGCAUAACAAAGUCAUAGCGAGUAAAAACCAGGCAGUGAAGAUCACGGGUCUUGUUUUCAUUGGGGAUCAACAAGUUGCUCAGUUUGGCUGAAGCAAUGAGAGGGAAAGCCGGGAACUUGGUGGGUAGAGACUACAUUGAUGAACACAUCGGUGAAGACAGAUUUGAGCAGGGGAAGGAGCAAUUCAGAUUCCGCUUUAAAGAAUGGUUAGGUAAACAGGCCAUAUCACUGGAGGUUGGACCACAGGAGAGGGAAAGAGGGAGGAAGCCACACUAAGUAAAUUGGGGCAACCUGUGUAAAGGAUAGUAGUAGAUGUGCAGUAAAGUCUAGUCAAAAAGUUGCAUGCUGGCAGGGCACCUUGGUGUCUCAGUCACUUGAGCAUCCAACUUCGGCUCAGGUCUUGUUGACUGUCUCUUAUACACAUCUGACUCU